rnacentral:pre_miRNA from 1 species
GUUGCAGAGCCAAUUUGGCAUUCUGUCCACCUCCCUAACCGAGAUUUCCUCGAUCGUUAUGCCUUCUGAAUCAGUCUUUUGGAGGCGGCCAGCAUGUCAAACUGGCUCUGUAAA